rnacentral:lncRNA from 1 species
AUCAGAAGAUUUGGAAGUGUUGAUGGUUUGGUCAUCUUCUGUACCCUUGCAUGAAACUUGGAAACGAUAGUUACUGCACUUUCCUAUAGUGAAAACUUUUGAUGUCUUUGUAAAGAAAGGAGAAGAAUGCAAAUUGGAAAGAGGUGUGGUGGUUAAAGAAGAAGAUGAAGAAGAGAUGACAUUGGUGGUGAGAGGGGGAAGAGAAGCCAUUACUAUAAUUUUUGCUUUGUUUGAGGUGUAGUUCAUGAACAUCUAGGAUUAGCAUUUAUAUAGAAUAUGGAGCAAAGACUUUCCCCUAUAAACUUAUGGUGAAAAAGAAAAAUAAUACUAACCAAAAAGAAAUACAUGUCAGGAAGAUGCUUGCAUAUCUUAACUUCCAGCAGCACGUGAUUUUCUUCGUAUUUAUUUGUUUGUUUAAUUCGUAAUUUGAAAUCAUUAAUACAAAAAUCCACGUUCGUCUGAGGUGUUGUAAGACCUUUUUAUUUAUUUAUUUACAAGAAUGUAAGAACUUGAGUGAUCACUGCACAGCAUAAUACAGAAAUGGAAUUGUCCUUCUAGAUAUAGCUGGUUGGUUUAGAUUUUAGAAUUAAGAAAUUAAUGAUUUUUUCAAAUAUUGUGUCUGCCGUGUCAAAAUUUAAUUAGUUUAGACUUAUUUUUUUUAUUUACAAUUAAGAGCAAGUUCCGAUGCAAUCUCAAAACAGGAAGCAGCUUAUGAAGCUUCAACGCCUUCAAUUAUUCAACAAUUCAACAUGUAGAUAGAUAAUGGUGUUAACCAAUAUUAUAUUGUAAAUAUUUCGGGUUAGUGAGAGUCUUGAAGGGAGCACAUUUUUGACAUAGAAGGGAGCACAUUUUUAGGACAUUUUAGGAGAGGACAUUUUUAGGAGGGAUAGUUUUUAGAGAGGAUUAUUUUUGGAGAGAGGAAGACAUUCUGAAAAUCCUAAGAGAGUGUUGGAGAGUUUAAAAAGAAAAAACAAAAAUAAAGUGAGAGACGAGUUUAGUUUCGGGUUUAAUACACGCGUGAUUGAGUCUGUUUGUGAUGACGUGGGUUGUUGCUGUUUAGUAAUUCAAAUAAACAGGGGAAAAUAUUGCUCAUAAUUAACAAGUAGAUCAGUUUUACAAGUGCGUAUUAUUUUAUUUAUCCAGUUAGGCAAAGAAUCAAGACGUGCAGCCUUGUAUAACAUCAACCGACCAUUCAGUAUAAUGUCGAAAGAGUAGAAUAAGUGGAAAUUAAAAUAAUCUUGCUAAUUUUUUAAAUGCAGGUUAGAGGAUGCUAAAACCCUACAACGAGAGUGCUCGCAUAGCAAAAAGACCAUUGAGGUAGGGAAAAUUUUAUUUUGUCUGUCAUGCAACUAACAUUAGUUGUAUGAGGCAAUUUUUUUGUUUCACAAUUUUGUGGACCCAGAUUUCUGUGAACCCAGAAAUGUAAGAUUGAGGUCCACAAAUUUGUGAGAUAAAAAGGAGCCUCAUACAACUAGUAUAAGUUGUAUAAGACACAAAAUAAAACUUCUCGGAAGGUAGUACUGGUUUGCCCAUUCGGAUUUGUAAAUGCUGAACUUCAAUAUUUAAAAUGGUAGUGAACUCUUAAAAAACUUGUUAAAUAAGUUAAGCAAAUAAGUGCUCGUUUGGAUGAGUUUUUUAAAAUGAUUUUAAGCAAAUAAGUUAAGAAUUCUAGCUUUUGGCUUUUGGCUUGUUUUUGUCAUUUUAGCUUAAAAAUACGUGCUUAAAAGCACUUUUGUUACUUUAUCCAAAUACUACAAAAUGACUUAAAAGCUAUUUUGGCUUAAAAGCACUUAGUGGACGUUUGAACAUAAGAAUUGUAAAAUUCCAAAAAAAAAAAAUAAAAAAAAAUUCAAGUGAAAAUGAUAUUUGAAAUUUAGAGUUGUAUUUGGACAUGAAUAUCAUUUUGGAUUAUUUUUGAAGUUUUGUGAGUGAUCUGAGUGAAAAUUUUGAAAAACAAUUUUUUGGAGUUUUUCAAAUUUUCGAAAAAUUCCAAAAUACAUCUUAUGAAUAAACGAUGGUAACCUAUUUCCUGGAGGUGCGUGUUGGACUAACAUGGCCACCAAUCGACGACCUCACACUAGGAAAUAAUGUAAAAUUGGAAAUUGCCCUACUUAAUUAGUUUGAAAAACUACUAGUUGUAGUUAUAAUACAUGUAGAAGAAAAUGAUAAAAUAUCCAUGUAAGUAGUUUUCUUCCUUUAUUCCAUUCAAACACGCUUACAAUAUCAAGAAACUUAAAAUGCUUAAUUCAUUGAGGAAAUUGAUUAAAACCCUUUUAUUUUUCUAGUCAUAAUCAAUUCUCAAAGAUAGCGGGAAUACAGAAAUAUAAAAUAAGGUUGCGUAUAAUAGACUCUUGCGGUCUGAUCCUUUCCCGAAUCCCGUGUAUAGCGGGAGCUUAGUGCACUAGGUGUCAAUCAAUCCUCAAGCACAAUCUUGACACCUCCAAUUUUUACAGCACCAGAACCAUUCUUUGGAACAAAAGUCACCACCACAUGAUCAUCAUCCUCAGCAUCUAAAUCUUCCAACAGCUCAGUUAUAGCCAACUUCAACUUAGUUUUACGUUUCUUGUCACUCUUACCAUGACUAUGAUGUGGCACGUUAACAAAACUACCUGCAAACUCAGCAUUAUUCGGCGAAAUUACAGUCUCAUCUUCAUCAUUAAUCAACACAUCAAACUUGACAAAAACAUCAGUUUCCAGCUCUAUCCCUUCAACUACUAAAAACUCCUCUUUUGCAUCUUUCUCCUUCUUGUUUCUCUUCUUAAUUGGCCUCUUUACCAUAACUCUUAUCACAUGGUCAAGUUUCGUUGGGAAAACAUCUUUUGCACUUGGAAAAUUAUCAGCUGCUCUUGCUUCAACAAGCCUCCUUACACUACUCAAAGCACUUGAAACCCUAGCCCUUGGACGAGAAUUUAUCCACGGAUUAGCUACACCUUGAUAAACGUAUCCAAGUCUUGUUGUAUCCAAACAGUCACGUACCCUAAUACGUACCAUUUGUGCUUUCUCAUCAUAAAACAAAAACGAAGCAUUUAAGAAAUCAGGGUCAGUAAAAUCUUGACGUCUUCCACCUAGGGUUUUCCAAACACUCCACAAUCUAUCAAUAUUAGAAUGAUGAGCAUAGAAAAUAGGGUCUCUAGCAGCUGAAUAAAAAUCUCCCAUGUUCUCAAAAUUAGGUUGGGUUCUAUCACCGGUCCAAACAUGGACCGGUCCAUGUGGAAUGUUCUCGAGGGACCCAGCACCACCCGGUUCGCCACCGGCACGGUAAGGGUCUCCGAGGAAAGUCGCUGGAGUACUUCCUAGUGAAACCAUUUGCCUAUACAUGAUAGUGAGAUUUUGGGAAGUUUGUUGAGCGUUACUUAUGUUAGGAUCCGUUCCAUUGAAGUCGAGAUCGACCAUGACCGGAGGCUGAUGCCUCCGAUCACGGAGAGGAUCAAAGAGAGAAGAACUACGGUUCGCAUACAUGGCAGGAAGUCUCAUGCCAUCAGGAUGAUCCCAGUUCCAAAAUGGGAUAACGAAAGUAGGGUCAUUUAUCAAACUUCCCAAGAUUUUUUCGAAGAAGUAGAGAUAACAACGAUGAAAAGGGAGGAAAAGCCAAGAGAAAUGAACUUGGAGUUCAGAGUUUGGGAAACCUAGUUGGUCAUAGGCACCGUCACAGUAAGCACAAUGAACAUUUGCUUGUUGCCUGAAGCUACGUGGAUCAUCGUCUGGAAGUUGUUUCAUGAGCUGAAUAGCU